rnacentral:lncRNA from 1 species
AGCUCUCCAAUCCCCGGAACCUUAUCUCCAUCCAAAUCCUCAUCCCCAUCCCGAGCGUCAUGGCCGCCGCACUCUUCUCCACCUCCCUCUCGCCCCGCUUCCUCGCCCUAUCCUCCCCGAAGCCCGCUGCGACCGUGGCCUCCGCCUUCCUCCCCUUCAGGCUGCCGCUGCGCGCUGUGUCGGCGCCGGGGAGGCGGGUGUUUGAGCCCGUGGCCGUCGCGGUGUCGUCCGAGUACGAGACCGAGGGCGCGGAGCAGGAGGAGGAGGGAGCCGAGGAGUUCUCCGAGGACCUGAAGCUGUUCGUCGGGAACCUGCCCUUCAGCGUCGACAGCGCGCAGCUCGCCGGGCUCUUCGAGCAGGCCGGCUCCGUCGAGAUGGUCGAGGUAUAUACGAGUUAAUUGUGCCGCCCCGUCUAUGUAAUUAGUGUCAGAAAUUGUCAUUUUGCUAAAAUAGGAAAUAUAUUAUUUUUUAAAAAAGUCUGGCUCACUGUCGUAUGGUCACCUGGAAUGGAACUGGAGUACUGGACAACUUGACCAGUCAGGAGUAAUUGAGUAAAGUUACAUAUUGUUACACUAUUUGAAACACCGAUAUGGUUAUGUACUUGUGGUAAAUUAUGACCAGAAAUCGAAACAAUAUUCAAAUUGUGAAGUCCAACAGAGCUGUAUGCAUCGAGUGAACCUUCUGCGUUUCACUAUUUCCCCUUCACUAUUCUAAGUUUCUAAGAGUUCAUAACUGCUUUGCAGGUUGUAUAUGAUAGAAUGACUGGACGAAGCCGUGGAUUUGGAUUUGUGACAAUGUCUUCAGCUGAAGAAGCUGGAGCCGCUGUUGAGCAAUUCAACGGUUAUGUGAGUAUACUUCCAUGGUUUAAGCUACCUUUCUCUUGGUAUGCUUCUGGAGAAGAUUAACUAUCCAGUUGAAGGAAAAAUAAAAAGAUAUAACAACACUAAACAGACAAAGUUGUCUAGCCAUUUUAAGAUCAGAUGCAGGUUUUGCACUGAAGCUUGCAUUUCUAUAAAAGGUUGAAAUGUGAAUCGAAGCAUAACCGAAAACUUUAGGAACAACUUCAUCAUAGCUUUUGGAACUGAAUUACUUCUCUUGAGUGCAUAGUGCGUUGUAGCAGAUUGAGCUCCUGACUAAUUAGCCUUGCCUCUCAAACAGACAUUUCAAGGCAGACCACUAAGGGUGAACUCUGGGCCACCACCGCCUAGGGAUGACUCUGCACCAAGAGCACCAAGGGGUGGUGGUGGUGGUGGAAACUUUGUGGAUUCAGGAAACAAGGUCUACGUAGGGAACCUUUCAUGGGGUGUCGACAACUCAACGCUUGAGAACCUGUUCAGUGAGCAAGGGCAGGUGCUUGAUGCUAAGGUCAUCUAUGACAGGGAGAGCGGCAGGUCAAGAGGAUUUGGUUUUGUCACCUAUGGCUCUGCUGAGGAGGUCAACAAUGCCAUAUCAAAC